AUGAAACUUGAGUUGUGAGACAAAUCUUAUCACUAACUAGCUGAUUGUCGUCACGAUUAGACAAGGGAAGAACAGUUACCGAUACCGAUUCAGUGCGGUUGCUGACUUUUUUUGCUGCUUGUUUUGAAACUUCAGCACGUCCUUUUAUUGUGCCGCUUCGCGAAUUUGUCCGCAGGUUUGUGGUUUGGCUAACCUCAUUCGUCAACCGUUUGAUAGAUGAGAUGGAAUUUGAGGCUUAGGAGAAGAGAUGC
rnacentral:misc_RNA from 1 species